rnacentral:lncRNA from 1 species
UUCACCAGUGAUCCGGCUUUUCGCAUCGUGAGGAGGCUCUCGCCAGUCCCCCCCACCUAUAUGAAAAUGGCUAUGUGUACGAGUUGUCCUCUAGUUUUCUGGUGCUUGUAGGCUUUAGCAGGAGGAGGGUAGAUCGAUCUCUCUUGCCUGCAGGUGAAACUUCUUGCUGCAACAGCGAGCGGUGCACUACCAAUUGGGUGCGUAGCUUCUCUGCCUGAAUGUAGCUUAUCUAUAUUUCUGAAGAACCAGUGAGCUUUGCAAUUCUCAGUAUUGUACAAAAUGAUUUAUCCAUUUCUGAAGAGCCAGUGAGCUUUGCAAUUCUCAGUAUUGUACGUACUGCUACUAGUAGUACAAUCAUGCAAGGAAGCAAAGGUAUCAAUCAGCGGGGACCCAGGGGUAUCCACGAUCCCAAUCAUUCAGAUCCACGUAAGGCGACACCCACCCAGCAGGCCAGCACAAUAUCUGCCACGCCCCUCUACCAGUACUAGGCACCAAAAGCUUUGCCCGCUACAUCGCUGCCACGUGCCUAGGCAGUACGUACUCUAUUGUGCAUCUGUGUGUACUAAGCUUAACUGUUGCCUUGUUUGCCUUACAUCUGCAGCAAACAAUGCCAUCAAAGACGACAGUGGUCCCAAAGGGCCACAUGAUGGCAUCGCAUGAUCUCAUCGUCUUCCCAAACACGUACACCUUCACCAGGUAAGUUCUGAACACACAAAGGGCACGCUAGCUGGGUUGGUUAUACAGGAUCUCAGUAUGCGAGGUCGAUGACACAAGCUAUAGCUUCACACUCUUUGUCUCUCGUCGACUAGGAAUGUUCUUCCGGUGGUAGUAGGCGACGUACCCGCGGGAAGCGAGACGCGUGAAACGAUCUCGUCGAGUACCUUCAGUGCAAGUGUGAGGGAGCGAGCACACACGGGUUGCGCGGGGGUUCUGACGAGUCACGAACAGCGAGAACAGGCUUGCGCGGGGAGCAACAAAUGUUUAGAAUUUAGGUUCCGUUCCGAAUUAACUGACGUGGAUUUAUAUACAUGAGGAUAAAAAGAAGCUAUUUAGGCUUGAAGGGUAGGAAUAACGAAGAUAUUUUCUCGUUUGAAAUGAAAUUAUUACUUAUCAUUGUUGCGGUAAAAUGAAAUUAUUCCUAUCAUUGUUGACGUAAAAUGAAAUCAUUGGAGCAGGGUCUCCGGUAGAGAAGCUUGCCGAAAAUAUCUCUCCCUAGGUCUAGACUAGAUCUGCGAAGGAGUGAGCGCAAUGCAUCGACCUCAAAAAACACAAAAAGAGUGAAAGCAAUGCAUGUGGAAAUCGGCAGGCUUGUAGCACCACUGGAGCCGGUUGCACGUACUGCAGCAGCCCCUCCUAGCUCCUGCCCCCCUACUGGCCCGAAGAGAUUCCUUUGCCCUUCUCUGCUCGCCGCGCCCGGAUGGAUCGAAAAGCCCACCAACCGGAGACGCAGACACUGAAGGAGACUCCCCUGUCCCUGACGCUGGGCCCCGGGACGCGGACAACGAGCGGAGCCCCCGCACCGCACUACAUCUCAGCCAAGGCAGCUGACAACAGGGCCCCGCCAGAUCUGCCCCGGGAUUCGUUUGGGGCCCGCCCCCCGGC